GAGCCAGGGUAUCAGAAUUCCCACAUUUCUUUGGCAAUGGAUCUCCACACAGCCCGGAGUUUCCCUCGUAUGCAGUGACAUUAAACCCUCUGAGUUGGGAUCCACUCGGUAUAGGACCUGUGAGAUUGUUGUGAGCAAUGAAUUAAAAAGCGCGCCUUGAGCAAAAUGCGAUUUUCUGGCCUGAAAAUGAGUGUGUUUCAGGGGCUAGGCGACGACGCUGGUGAGGUGUCCUCCAAGGCGCGAAAGGCGUCCUCUAAGGCACGAAAGGCGUACGCGCAGAAAAAAUGAGAAGUGACGUCGUUUUGAAACAAAAUGGGUUUAAAGGCUGUCUAGGUCGCGACUGCUACCCCAAAUUCGAUUUUAGCUCGAUUUCAGCCCUCUGCCCCUCUCUAUUCGCAAAUUCGAUCCCUAAGUCCCUAACCCAGAGUUCGAGUUAGGAGUUCGAUUUCAGCCCUCUGCCCCUCUUUGCGCAGCAGUCAAUUUGAGCUUGAUUGGAGGUCGAUUCGCAACAGGCCAUUUGAACUUCUAAAAAUUUAGUGAUCCCAUUGGAAUUGAUUUAGAUUUUGUUGGAUUCAGUUUGAGUUUUGAGUAAAGACUUCAUCUUUUUUUAUUGGGUGAAGGCUCGGGGAGUGGCUUGAAAAUGGGGAUUGAAGGAUCCUCUUCAGGAAGGGAUUCUUCUCCAGCAUCCUUUUUGGGUGCUCUGUUCUUGGUCCUCUUUUGAAGUAGCAGCUGGAAGAUAUUGAGUUGGGCUGAACUGGGUUUAUUAUAUUGAGGCCGAGUAGCUAUCUGAUUAUCUCUUGUGUUAAUUGAUAUAUGAUUAGCUAUAUGAUUGUCUGGGUUUACUACUUUACUAUAUGAGUGUCUCGUGUUAAUUGAUAUGCCAUCAUUAUAAUAAUAGUUAUGUUAA